rnacentral:rRNA from 1 species
AACGAACGCUGGCGGCAGGCUUAACACAUGCAAGUCGAACGCCCCGCAAGGGGAGUGGCGGACGGGUGAGUAACGCGUGGGAACGUGCCUCGAGGUUCGGAAUAACCGAGGGAAACUUCGGCUAAUACCGGAUGAGCCCGAAAGGGGAAAGAUUCAUCGCCUUGAGAGCGGCCCGCGUUGGAUUAGCUAGUUGGUGGGGUAACGGCCUACCAAGGCUUCGAUCCAUAGCUGGUCUGAGAGGACGACCAGCCACACUGGGACUGAGACACGGCCCAGACUCCUACGGGAGGCAGCAGUGGGGAAUCUUGGACAAUGGGGGCAACCCUGAUCCAGCCAUGCCGCGUGGGUGAUGAAGGUCUUCGGAUUGUAAAGCACUUUCAGUAGGGGAAGAAAAGCUUGGUGUGAAUAGCGCCGAGUCUUGACGUUACCCAAAGAAGAAGC